AAAUACCUGACUGAUCUUACAGUGAGGAGAAUAUAGGAUGGAAUGGAUAUAAGAGCAAUCCCAUUAAAGACUACCUGUGGCUAUUAGUCACCUUCCAAACAAAAGAUGCUGAGUUCUCUAAAUUGCUUUAUGUGAGAUGUAACACAAAACCACAUGGUUCACCACUACAGGAAUAGUGUGGAAAACCAGGUGGUAAUAAGGGUCUGCCAACCAAGACAAGGAACUCCAGAAAACUAUUAUUGAUGAUCACAGCAAAACCUCUGCAGAAAUUUCACAUCUGCUGAAGCCCAUGGCAUUUGCCUAGUACUGCCAAAGGAAAAAAUAAUGUCUUCUGGUCUCCAUUCCACCUUCAAAAUCAUGCUCCAGUGCACCUUGUUGUUAGAACAUAAAUUGUAUUCUAUUCCACAGAGUCAAGAGAAUCUAGAGAAUUUGAUUUCUAAAUUCCCAGCUCCUUCAAAACAGAAGAAACCUUAGAAGGGUUUUGCUGCUUGCAAAAUGAAAUUAAACCUGCACACUUAUUUCUGUUCUCUUAAUAAAGACUUUGAAGAGAUUAAUUCAUGAUA
rnacentral:lncRNA from 1 species